rnacentral:rRNA from 1 species
CCUACGGGAGGCAGCAGUGGGGAAUAUUGGACAAUGGGGGAAACCCUGAUCCAGCGACGCCGCGUGAGUGAAGAAGUAUUUCGGUACGUAAAGCUCUAUCAGCAGGGAAGAAAAUGACGGUACCUGACUAAGAAGCCCCGGCUAACUACGUGCCAGCAGCCGCGGUAAUCCGGAGGGGGCAAGCGUUAUCCGGAUUUACUGGGUGGAAAGGGAGCGUAGACGGCAGCGCAAGUCUGGAGUGAAAUGCCGGGGCCCAACCCCGGAACUGCUCUGGAAACUGUGAAGCUGGAGUGCAGGAGAGGUAAGCGGAAUUCCUGGUGUAGCGGUGAAAUGCGUAGAUAUCAGGAGGAACACCGGCGGCGAAGGUGGCUUACUGGCCUGUAACUGACGUUGAGGCUCGAAGGCGUGGGGAGCAAACAGGAUUAGAUACCCUUGUAGUC